rnacentral:rRNA from 1 species
GAGGGAAGCUUGCUUCCCGAUUUAGCGGCGGACGGGUGAGUAAUGCCUAGGAAUCUGCCUAUUAGUGGGGGAUAACGUUCCGAAAGGAACGCUAAUACCGCAUACGUCCUACGGGAGAAAGUGGGGGAUCUUCGGACCUCACGCUAAUAGAUGAGCCUAGGUCGGAUUAGCUAGUUGGUGGGGUAACGGCUCACCAAGGCGACGAUCCGUAGCUGGUCUGAGAGGAUGAUCAGCCACACUGGAACUGAGACACGGUCCAGACUCCUACGGGAGGCAGCAGUGGGGAAUAUUGGACAAUGGGCGAAAGCCUGAUCCAGCCAUGCCGCGUGUGUGAAGAAGGUCUUCGGAUUGUAAAGCACUUUAAGUUGGGAGGAAGGGUUGUAAGCUAAUAUCUUGCAGCUUUGACGUUACCAACAGAAUAAGCACCGGCUAACUCUGUGCCAGCAGCCGCGGUAAUACAGAGGGUGCAAGCGUUAAUCGGAAUUACUGGGC